GACGAACGCUGGCGGCGUGCUUAACACAUGCAAGUCGAACGAGACGAUUGAAAGCUUGCUUUCGAAAGUCGAGUGGCAAACGGGUGAGUAACGCGUAGACAACCUGCCUUUGAGAUGGGGACAACAGUUCGAAAGGACUGCUAAUACCGAAUGUUGUGUAUUUUCCACAUGGAAGAUAUAUUAAAGAUAGCCUCUAUUUAUAAGCUAUCGCUCAAAGAUGGGUCUGCGUCUGAUUAGCUGGUUGGUGGGGUAACGGCCUACCAAGGCGACGAUCAGUAGCCGGUCUGAGAGGAUGAACGGCCACAUUGGGACUGAGACACGGCCCAGACUCCUACGGGAGGCAGCAGUGGGGAAUCUUCCACAAUGGACGAAAGUCUGAUGGAGCAACGCCGCGUGAGUGAAGAAGGGUUUCGGCUCGUAAAGCUCUGUUGUCGGGGACGAAUGUGCAGUAUUUGAAUAAAGUACUGUAAUGACGGUACCUGACGAGGAAGCCACGGCUAACUACGUGCCAGCCGCCGCCGUAA
rnacentral:rRNA from 1 species